rnacentral:rRNA from 1 species
AUUGAACGCUGGCGGCAGGCCUAACACAUGCAAGUCGAGCGGAUGAAGUGAGCUUGCUCCUGGAUUCAGCGGCGGACGGGUGAGUAAUGCCCAGGAAUCUGCCUGGUAGUGGGGGAUAACGUCCGGAAACGGGCGCUAAUACCGCAUACGUCCUGAGGGAGAAAGUGGGGGAUCUUCGGACCUCACGCUAUCAGAUGAGCCUAGGUCGGAUUAGCUAGUUGGUGGGGUAAAGGCCUACCAAGGCGACGAUCCGUAACUGGUCUGAGAGGAUGAUCAGUCACACUGGAACUGAGACACGGUCCAGACUCCUACGGGAGGCAGCAGUGGGGAAUAUUGGACAAUGGGCGAAAGCCUGAUCCAGCCAUGCCGCGUGUGUGAAGAAGGUCUUCGGAUUGUAAAGCACUUUAAGUUGGGAGGAAGGGCAGUAAGUUAAUACCUUGCUGUUUUGACGUUACCAACAGAAUAAGCACCGGCUAACUUCGUG